CCAAUAAAUAUAGCGUCUAAGCAAAAAAACAAAGAUACUACUACCCUCAGCCAACUCCAGCAAACAAAAGAACAAUCCUAUACCCAUAGGAACUCUUAUGCUAAAACUACUAAUAUGGGAACCACUCCCUUCUAGCACACUCUUUUCUCACACACCUGAUAGUUAACAGACCAUAAGAGGAAGAAAGACCCUAUUCCCAAUUUUAACCUCACUGUAAAUCCAACUCUGGUGUGCAAAAGUACAAUUAAAAGUCUCAGAAGGAACUCGGCAAACAUAAACCCCAACUGUUUACCAAAAACAUAGCCUUUAGCAAAACAAGUAUUAAAGGUACUGCCUGCCCAGUGAAUUUUUUAACGGCCGCGGUAUCCUGACCGUGCAAAGGUAGCGAAAUCAUUUGUCUACUAAAUAUAGACCAGUAUGAAGGGCCACAUGAGGGUUUGACUGUCUCCUUAGACUGAUUUAUGAAACUGAUCUUCUAGUUCAAAAGCUAGAAUUACUAUAUAAGACGAGAAGACCCUGUGAAGCUUAAAAAAUCCUGUUAAAACAAUUAAUAGGUACUUUUAGUUGGGGCAACUUUGGAAAACAAACAAACCUCCAAAAAAAUCAAAAAGACUAACUAGUCAACAACGACCCAGUAUAACUGAAAAAUGGACCAAGUUACUCCAGGGAUAACAGCGCAAUCUUCUUCAAGAGCCCAUAUCUAAAAGAAGGUUUACGACCUCGAUGUUGGAUCAGGACAUCCAAGCAGUGCAACAGCUACUAAAGGUUCGUUUGUUCAACGAUUAAAGU
rnacentral:rRNA from 1 species